GUGUCUCAAUUCAGGGUCUGCAUCCUACCUCGGCCGGAUUCGUCGGCCGGUUACGUCACAGCGCCGCGACUCGGCCUGUCCCAAUUCGAAGACUCCUUCAAAUGCGGUCGACGAAUGCGGCCUUCUUUUCGCCUGAAUGAAGGAUGGGUCGGGUGUAUCCUUCAAUAGGUAGCAUUUCCCAAGAUGCCUUGCGGGCCGGCCGGCAGAAAAACUUAAAAACAAUGGCGGACAGUGAAGCGGGAGCUGUCGGAGAGGAUUGCGCAUAUAAAUGACCAAAAGAGAAAACCAGGGAAUUUAUUAAGCUUAGGGCGGAGAUGGACCACAUGAUCACCGGAGCAAAGUAUUCGGCGGCUGUGGCAUGGAGACUAUUCUGGAGAAAAUGGGCAUCCAGGGGAAGGUGCCAGCGAUGAGCUUCUGGAGCUGAUCUGGGAGGACAUGAGGCUGCAGAGCAGCAGAGAGCACAGGAGAGAAGGAAGAACUUUGACAGCUUUUUACUUUGCUAGAAAAAAAUGGUUAAUGAAGAUUAAACAUGUACAUGUAAAAGAAAUAUCUAAAUAAAAUCAGUUCUGCAUUAAA